CCUACGGGAGGCAGCAGUGGGGAAUAUUGGACAAUGGGCGAAAGCCUGAUCCAGCAAUGCCGCGUGAGUGAUGAAGGCCUUAGGGUUGUAAAGCUCUUUUACCAGGGAUGAUAAUGACAGUACCUGGAGAAUAAGCUCCGGCUAACUCCGUGCCAGCAGCCGCGGUAAUACGGAGGGAGCUAGCGUUGUUCGGAAUUACUGGGCGUAAAGCGUACGUAGGCGGUUAUUCAAGUCAGAGGUGAAAGCCCGGGGCUCAACCCCGGAACUGCCUUUGAAACUAGAUAGCUAGAAUCUUGGAGAGGUUAGUGGAAUUCCGAGUGUAGAGGUGAAAUUCGUAGAUAUUCGGAAGAACACCAGUGGCGAAGGCGACUAACUGGACAAGUAUUGACGCUGAGGUACGAAAGCGUGGGGAGCAAACAGGAUUAGAUACCCUGGUAGUCCACGCCGUAAACGAUGAUAACUAGUUGUUCGGGCACUUGGUGCCUGAGUGACGCAGCUACGCAUUAAGUUAUCCGUCCGUCGGGUAGGUACGGUCGUCGAGAGUUAAACGUUAAAGGUAAAGUUAGACGGCGUGUAAGUACGUGCGAACGGUACGACGACGAGGGAGGAGG
rnacentral:rRNA from 1 species